GCUUCGCUGGCCUAGUGGUUAGAGCGUCCGCCUCGAACUCGAAAGGUCGUGGGUUUGAUCCCCGGCCGAGUGAUACC